CUUGCUUAAAGCUGGUGUUUCAGUAUGACAUUUAUGAAUUGACUGCCAGUCAUGGCACAAACUGCCAGUCAAGCAAAACUGAGCUGGUCGAGUCCACUCACAGUGCGUGGAACCAUCAUUCAUCUGGGAAGACAACCCCAAUCCGGGCACUGGUUUUCCACCUCAGAGAGAGGAUCUCCAGCUUCUUUCUCAUGUGGCUCGUCAAGCCCAUCGAAACCAGGAAGAUCAGAGCCCUGACCUAGAAGUACUUUGGAGGGACGGCUGCCGUUUUGCUUUCUCCUUUAAGAAGCAAAUUCAAAAUUCUCAACUUGCCUGAGCAAACGAACAAGAAAUGGGAAGAUUUAGGGCACACUGUGUGAUACGUAUAUGCUGAGAUGGCCCUGAAUUUCCCUGUGCAAAUGAAUCUACUGGGUCAAAUCAUGAACCCAGCUUCUGAAGAAGGAGCACAAGCAUUUUUCCUCCAAAUAAAAAUCCGUUUUGCUUUAA